AAGUCGUAACAAGGUUUCCGUAGGUGAACCUGCGGAAGGAUCAUUAUCGAGUGAGGGUCCUCUGGGCCCCAUCUCCAACCCGUGUCCAUCUACCAUGUUGCUUCGGCGGGCCCGUCUUCAACCAGACCGCUGGAGUGUCUACCCUCUGGCCCGCGCCCGUCAGUCGCCCCCACCAACCCUCCUCACAGUGAUGUCUCAGCCUGGCAGAACAAUUAAAACUUUCAACAACGGAUCUCUUGGUUCUGGCAUCGAUGAAGAACGCAGCGAAAUGCGAUAAGUAAUGCGAAUUGCAGAAUUCCGUGAGUCAUCGAAUCUUUGAACGCACAUUGCGCCCUCUGGUAUUCCGGAGGGCAUGCCUGUUCGAGCGUCAUCGUCAACCCUCAAGCCCCCGGCUUGCUGUUGGGUCCCGCCGUCGAGAUAGACGGGCGGACCCGAAAGAUAAUGGCAGAGCCCGCGGGGACCCUGGAUGCAACGAGCCCAGCAGCACGCGUCUUGGGGCUCUUAGGGCCUGUCCGCCCCCAUAUUCUCCUUCAGAUUGACCUCGGAUCAGGUAGGGAUACCCGCUGAACUUAAGCAUAUCAAUAAGCGGAGGAAAAGAAACCAACAGGGAUUGCCUCAGUAACGGCGAGUGAAGCGGCAAUAGCUCAAAUUUGAAAUCUGGUCCCGCCCGGGGCCCGAGUUGUAAUUUGUAGAGGACGCUUCGGGCAAGGCCGCGGUCUAAUUCGCUUGGAACAGCGAGUCAGAGAGGGUGAGAAUCCCGUCCGGGACCGCGAGCGGCGCCCGUGUGAAGCUCCUUCGACGAGUCGAGUUGUUUGGGAAUGCAGCUCUAAAUGGGUGGUAAAUUUCAUCUAAAGCUAAAUAUUGGCCAGAGACCGAUAGCGCACAAGUAGAGUGAUCGAAAGAUGAAAAGCACUUUGAAAAGAGAGUUAAACAGUAUGUGAAAUUGUUGAAAGGGAAGCGCUUGCAAUCAGACUUGCGUGUGGCGGCUCCCCCGGUCUCUCCGGACCGGGUCACUCCGUCAUAUCCAGGCCAACAUCGGUUCGGGUGGUCGGUCAAAGACCCCGGGAAUGUAUCUACCUCCGGGUCGACUUAUAGCCCGGGGUGCAAUGCGGCCCACCCGGACCGAGGAACGCGCUCCGGCUCGGAUGUUGGCGUAAUGGUUGCAAGCGGCC
rnacentral:rRNA from 1 species